GGAGGGUGCAAGCGUUAAUCGGAAUUACUGGGCGUAAAGAGCACGUAGGCGGCUUGGUCAGUCGGAUGUGAAAGCCCCGGGCUUAACCUGGGAAUUGCACUCGAUACUGCCAGGCUAGAGUUUAGUAGAGGAAUGCGGAAUUCCGGGUGUAGCGGUGAAAUGCGUAGAUAUCCGGAGGAACAUCAGUGGCGAAGGCGGCAUUCUGGGCUAAAACUGACGCUGAGGUGCGAAAGCGUGGGGAGCAAACAGGGAUUAGAUACCCUGGUAGUCCACGCCGUAAACGAUGUCAACUAGCCGUUGGGAUUUUUCUUAGUGGCGCAGCUAACGCGAUAAGUUGACCGCCUGGGGGAGUACGCCGGCAACGGUA
rnacentral:rRNA from 1 species